rnacentral:rRNA from 1 species
UACGAAGGGGGCUAGCGUUGUUCGGAAUUACUGGGCGUAAAGCGAACGUAGGCGGUGUUCCAUGUCAGAGGUGAAAGCCUGGGGCUCAACUCCAGAAUUGCCUUUGAAACGGGAACGCUUGAGUCCGAGAGAGGAUGGCGGAAUUCCUAGUGUAGAGGUGAAAUUCGUAGAUAUUAGGAAGAACACCGGUGGCGAAGGCGGCCAUCUGGCUCGGUACUUACGCUCAGGUUCGAAAGCGUGGGGAGCAAACAGG